rnacentral:rRNA from 1 species
GACGAACGCUGGCGGCGUGCUUAACACAUGCAAGUCGAACGGAAAGGCCCUGCUUGCAGGGUACUCGAGUGGCGAACGGGUGAGUAACACGUGGGUGAUCUGCCCUGCACUUCGGGAUAAGCCUGGGAAACUGGGUCUAAUACCGGAUAGGAGCCAUUUUUAGUGUGAUGGUUGGAAAGUUUUUUCGGUGUAGGAUGAGCUCGCGGCCUAUCAGCUUGUUGGUGGGGUAAUGGCCUACCAAGGCGGCGACGGGUAGCCGGCCUGAGAGGGUGGACGGCCACAUUGGGACUGAGAUACGGCCCAGACUCCGACGGGAGGCAGCAGGGGGGAAGAUUGCACAAUGGGCGCAAGCCUGAUGCAGCGACGCCGCGUGGGGGAUGACGGCCUUCGGGUUGUAAACUCCUUUCGCUAGGGACGAAGCUUUUUGUGACGGUACCUAGAUAAGAAGCACCGGCUAACUACGUG